AGAAAUGCAGAGGUCCGAAAAGGGGGCGGGGCUAAACGGCACUGUACACACAGUGCCAUGCCAGCCAGCAACAGCAUGGGGGAGAGGAGGGGAGAACAGUAGCACAGCCUAAACUGAGAAAACAUUUUACAAGACACAGACUGGAUAUGAGCUUGGAGACCCAUUAGCAUCAGGCACAUUCAGCUCCUGACCGAGAGAUACCUGCUCCUGUAUUUAUUUCUCAAGGCAUCUGGGAUCAGAAGAAGAUAUACAGAACCUGAGCCGCAUUGUGAAGCCGCCAGUGCAAGAUGUUAGGCGUUUCCUUUUCCAGCACAUUGAAAGAGAUCUAGAAUAUCUGAAGAACACUCUUGGAAAAAGUGCUGAUGACACCACAACUGUUGUACAUCUUGUAUUUUGUCAAAUGCUGACUCUACAACAGUCCGAAGACUAUCUCUUAACGACCCUUCUCACCUGGGGUAGCCAGAAUUUGAUUGUCGGCGGGGACUUUAAUUAGGUGGUCGACCCAUCCAUGGACAGA